GAUGAACGCUGGCGGCGUGCUUAACACAUGCAAGUCGAGCGAAGCACCUUGACUUCUUCGGAAAGAUUGGUGACUGAGCGGCGGACGGGUGAGUAACGCGUGGGUAACCUGCCUCACACAGGGGGAUAACAGUUAGAAAUGACUGCUAAUACCGCAUAAGACCACAGCACCGCAUGGUGCAGGGGUAAAAACUCCGGUGGUGUGAGAUGGACCCGCGUCUGAUUAGCUAGUUGGUGGGGUAACGGCCUACCAAGGCGACGAUCAGUAGCCGACCUGAGAGGGUGACCGGCCACAUUGGACUGAGACACGGCCCAAACUCCUACGGGAGGCAGCAGUGGGAAUAUUGCACGAAAUGGGGGGAAACCCUGAUGCAGCAACGCCGCGUGAAGGAAGAAGGUCUU
rnacentral:rRNA from 1 species